AGUGAACGCUGGCGGUAGGCCUAACACAUGCAAGUCGAACGGCAGCACAGUAAGAGCUUGCUCUUACGGGUGGCGAGUGGCGGACGGGUGAGGAAUACAUCGGAAUCUACUUUUUCGUGGGGGUUAACGUAGGGAAACUUACGCUAAUACCGCAUACGACCUACGGGUGAAAGCAGGGGAUCUUCGGACCUUGCGCGAUUGAAUGAGCCGAUGUUGGAUUAGCUAGUUGGCGGGGUAAAGGCCCACCAGGUCGACGAUCCGUAGCUGGUCUGAGAGGAUGAUAAGCCACACUGGAGCUGGGACACGGUCCAGACGCCUAAGGGAGGCAGCAGUGGGGAAUAUUGGACAAUGGGCGCAAGCCUGAUCCAGCCAUACCGCGUGGGUGAAGAAGGCCUUCGGGUUGUAAAGCCCUUUUGUUGGGAAAGAAAAGCAGCAGGUUAAUACCACGCUGUUCUGACGGUACCCAAAGAAUAAGCACCGGCUAACUUCGUG
rnacentral:rRNA from 1 species